UGGGAGCCAGGACUCCUGGGUUCUAGCCCCAGCUGUGGAGAAGGAUGUGGUAGCUAGCAUUUAGAGCAGGAGAGGCUGGGAGCCAGGACGCCUGGGGUCAAUUCCAAACCCUGCCACUACCCUCGCAUGGGACCUUGAGACGGUGAGCUCAUCGAUUCCAAGGCCAGUCGGGAUCAUCUAGACUGGCCGCUUGUAUAGCACGGGCCAGAGAACUGCCCCGAAAUAAUUCCAGAGCCGCUCUGUUAGAAAAACAUCCCUUCUUGAUUUAUGAAUCGUCAGCGAUGGGGAACCCACCACGACCCUGGCUUUCAGCUCUUACCUUUGCCGGCGGGGCCAGGCGGGGGGCUCCCUUCGGCCCGCAGCCCCCACGGGGGGUCGCCGUGGUUGGCGAAGUCGCGCAUCUUGAGGUAACUGAUGG